GCCGCUGGUAGAUCCUGUCGGUGUGCCGACGAGGUCACUAACUCUAAUUAAUCUUGAAAAUCAAGCCGGUUAUCUUAGGUCCGCAUGAGUAUAUAAUUUACAAAAAUUCAUGGUAUGAACAGAAAUCGUACGGAGGUGAACGGAAGCUAGCUCCAUGCAGGGUCAACGCACGGGGGGUCAUGCGCAGAUGAACGGAAGCCCAGGUCAAAGAUCCAUAGAUUUGUUCCAAGGCAUGAAGCAAAGAUCCAUAGAUUUGUUCCAAGGCAUGAAGCAAAUGCAGGGUCCAAUGCUCGUACUUGGUUCCAUGAGCACAAGAGUUUGGAUUCUUACCAUAUGGAAAUGAUCUGAGAUCAUUCGUCAAAGUCGCUCAUCCAUGGAUGAUACACCAUUCAAUAGUCGGUGAGAAAGAAUUGCGGUCAUCUCAAUAGACUCAGAACACAAUGGCCAAGUCGUGUGCAAAUCAUGGAGGAAGUAGGAGGUUCUACGUGUUGGUCAUUUGGCCAAAUAUGCUAUAUGUGUUGGUCAUUUGACCACAUAUGUUUUAUGUUGGUCAUUUGGACGAAUAUUCACAUUGUUGACCAUGUCAUUUUUUAGCUAACCUUCGAGUGCAUGCACAUUGUACAUGAAGUUGGAGUAGAGGAACUUCAUCCUCACGCAUGGUUGGUUGAAGUUUAGUUGGAAACCAAAGUAGCUUCUAUCCAUUGCCCGUACCGUCAAGACUGUAGACAUCGACAAUGAAAGCGAAGGUGCUGAUCCAAUCGUCUGAAAAAAACGAGAGCCAGCCAAGAAGGUAAAAAGGGAUCCAAGGAGGAAGUGGGUGGAGGAAAGGAGAAGCAAGAAGGGGCGGUAGGCAAGAUGAGAAGUUUGAGGGCAUCAGUGACAAGAAGGAGGAGUCAUGUGUCAAGCGCUAUGACAUUAUAGAGCGAAAGAAUGUAGAGAGGUUUGACAUCUUUUCGUGAAUGCGAUGGAGAAGAAGAUCAACCGCAAAGAAAGGUAGACCGAACUCAAAGAUAAUAAGACCACGCUUUAAAAGAGGAGGUUUGAGAUCGCAGACGCUUUGGGGAAACCAAAAUUUUGACCACAAAGAUUAAAUAAUUAGAUCGUGAUGUGGCAAAGAUCAAGCAACCUUCCGUGCAUAGAUGUUGAAGCGUUUAACGCAUACAUGGUGAAGAUGGAAUAUCUGGACGAGGUGACGGCAGAGUGGUGAUGGAUGGGGCACGAAAAGCCUGUCUGGGAUGUCGAAAUAGGUUGGAACGUCGUACCCAUCCUGGACGACGGCUGCGUGUUUAUAUAGAAGGGGCGCGACUCCCUGAUAGCGUACAUUGUUGAGAUUACAACUUGGAGAUAAAGCAAAGCCUAGAGAUAGAGAUAGUUGUUUAAGUUACAAACAAGAUCUUUAUAUCUAAACAACCUAGUCUAUCUUUAUCUUAACCGAGACUAUAUCCUCAACGGUAUAGGGACUAUCCCAUGUUUAACAUGGGAGAGCAAAAUGUACGCGGACUGCCGGACUAAAACUUUUGCGAUAAGGCACAUGAAUAAACUUACGAACAUUUGCCUUUUUUGAUUGUGAAGAGUGCAAAGAUAUGCACCUCAUCAAAUUGCUUUGAUUAACAUCUGCAAUCCAAAGGUAUUCCGUUGGAGCAGGAUCUAGGUGGACUUUUUCGGCAUUGGAUAGCCGGCACCCUAUCCGUGUCAGUGAGUUAGUUUUGUAACAUAGUGUUCAAGAUGCCCUUAGGAUUUCUGAUAAAUUUGGUCGACGCCGCCGCUAUUUCAAAUGUGGUAGAUGUGGAUGUUGCUAUUGUAAGGGAAGGAACGGGUACCCUUGCUUGUGAGAAGCUAGAGGGGACGUGGCCGAUACCUACACCGUGAUGCACGAAUAGCCUGUUGGGAGGGCAAAAUUUACGCGGACUGCCCCGGACUAAAACUUUUGUGAUUAGGUUCAUAGAAGAACUUAUGAACAUCCGCCUUUUUUUGUGAAGAUUGCAAACUUAUGCAGCCCAUCAAAUUGCUUUUAAUUAACAUUUGCACUCUAUAUGUAUUUGGAUGGAGCUGGAUCUCGACAGACUAUUUCGACACUGCGUUGGAUAUGCGUCCGUGUCCGUGACAGCAUACAGAAGGUCACUGAGUCAGUUUCUCGCACAGUGUUGGAGAUGUCCUUAGGCUUCGUGAUAGAUUUGGAUGUGGACGUGGAUGCUGCUAUUGGCAGGGACGUGAUGCUAACCUUGCUUGUGAGAUGCUCGAGGAGACUAGCCGCAGUGGGGCUGCCAGUCUAGCAAGAUGUUGGGCAAUAUUCUUCAGACAUCGUCCCGUUCUCGGUGUCUCCUAUUCAUAAUGCUCUUUGCACACUUAUUUUAUUUUUCAUUCCCUUGUCUCACCUUCGUACUAGCAACAGAAAUGUGUCUUCGUCCAUUACAUACAUCGAAAGAGUUUGAUCCCAAAGACAAGUAUAUAUACGUGAGAGAAGAUGGAACAGUAGAGAACAUUUAUGCACAAACUCGGUGGAAGUACGAGCACACUUCUGCAUUGAUCCAUGUCCUGUAUACAUUAGAAAAUAUACGACCUGGGCUUGUAUACGUGUGCGCAUGUGCACCUUUGUUCUGGAAGAGAUCCUAGAGCAUCUGAGCAAAAAUCACUAUUUUAACCUUGUUAGAAAAUUUUAUCACGAAAUAUUCACUCAGAUUUUAUUUCACAAUCUUAUUCUUUUCAACAACACCACAAGCUAUGACGUUUUUGCUACACGUCGCAACGCAGACAUGGUUUGAAUUUUUACUUGACCACGACCUAGCCAAGCCUCCUACGGGCAGCAAUGACAUGGUUCAUGGCAUUUUUAGUAACGCAAUGGUCCAUGGCGUUAAAUGCCAUGGCCCAUGGCGUUUCCGCCUUAAAAAGAAAGACAUGCUCUUCGGCAUUUUCAAUAAUGCGUGCACACGAUCGCUUAUCUAUUCAGAAAAGAAAGCUGACUGGUUGGACGUGUCAAGUACCGGAAGAAUCAGAUUGUAAAAUAAAAUCUGGAAGAGUUCAAAUCGAGCUAAAUUUACCGAGAGUGAUCAAAACAGUGAAAACGUCCGAGCACAGUGUUGGAUAUGCGUCCGUGUCCGUGACCGCAUCCGGAUGGUCAGUGAGUAAGUUUCGUCGCACAGUGUUGGAGAUGUCCUUAGGCUUCGUGAUAGAUUUGGAUGUAGACGUGAUAGAUUAGGCUUCGUGAUGCCAACCUUGCUUGUGAGAUGCUCGAUGAGACGUAGCCGCAGUGGGGCUGCCAGUCUAGAAAUCUAGAAAGAUGUUGGGUAACGUUCUUCAGACAUCGUGGCAAAUAAAACAAAACUGAUGCUCCGAAAAUGAUAAUUUCAAACGCAUUUUGAAGCUUUGAUAGCUUUGAUAUUUUUUUUUUGUCAUGACUUCCACGAAUGUGACUCCCUAACCAAAGUUUGUGAGCACUCCAAACAUUCCAUGAUGUUAGCCAAAAAAAUCAUUUUACUGUUUAUGCCAGAAGAAUUUGAGCUUGAGCUGAGAGAAAGGCGCUUUGGCUCACAUAUCAUGUUGCGCCGUGAGGGUGAGUGCCACGAGCUGGUACAUAAGAGCAUCUAUAGCCGGUACUCGCAAAUUUGUUUCAAGGCAUGAAGCAGAUGGCUGUUUAGACUAUCGUCGGAAAAUGAGGGUUUGUGGGUACAAAUUCUGAAGAAUAAGUACUUACACAUCAAAACCUUAUUUCAAGUUACAGCACGACCAACUGAUUCUCCUUUCUGAAAGGGGUUGAUGCGGAUAAAAAAUGCUUUCUUCAGAACAACUAGGUUUAUCAUAGGCAAUGGUGAAUCUACUAGUUUCUGGGAAGACACUUGGUUAAGGGAGAUGCCUUUAGCUAUUCAAUACCCGCGGUUGUAUCAUAUUGCACAACGUCGACAAGCGUCUGUUGCGUCAAUACUUAGUGAGAUUCCUCUAAAUAUUCAAUUCCGUAGAUCUCUCAUUGGCGAUAGAUGGAUUAGUUGGUUGCACCUCGUGAGAAGGUUGAUGGACGUUAGCCUCUCUCACACACCUGAUCGUGUGUAUUGGAAGUUGACCACAAACGGAAUAUUCACGGUAAAAUCUAUGUACAUGCAUCUCAUAGAUUCAACACCUAUUCCAAAAUCUGCGCAUAUUUGGAAGAUAAAAGUUCCUCUUAGAAUCAAAGUCUUCAUGUGGUUUGUUCACAAAGGAGUUAUUCUAACGAAGGAUAAUCUUGCCAAGCGAAACUGGAAUGGUAAUACUAGAUGCAACUUCUGUCCGAAUAAGGAAAGUAUUAAGCACCUCUUUCUCGAUUGUCCUAUGGCUAAACUGGUUUGGCGGUCUCUGCACAUUGCUUUUAACAUCACCCCCCUAAUAGUAUAAACACGUUAUUUGAGAUGUGGUUACAGGGGGUUGAUGUAAACACUGCUAAACUUAUUCGCAUGGGUUCUUGUGCACUCUUGUGGGCUGUAUGGAACAACAGAAAUGAUUUGGUUUUUAAUAGACAAUGCGACUUUAACUUCUUGCAGGUUAUCUUCAGGGCUACCGCACUGAUCUGCACAUGGUCGUUACUCACUCCUGUGGAAGCCAGGGAGCCUAUGGUUACUGGGUGUGUCCGUUGGGAGAUGGUAGCACAGGAUAUCUUCAACCGGUUUGGAUGACGUCAUGUUAAUAGGAUAGGUGUUUAGUCAUCUAUAUAUUUUGUCGUCUCCGGCUUGGGCAAGAAAGAUGCCUUGUAUCGUCCUUUUUUAUUUUUGUUGCUCACUUUUUGUACUUUGUCCGAGACUUCAUUUCGAUUUUAAUAUAUUUGGCCGUAUGCAUCUCUCGAUGCAGAGGCCGGGGCUCAGCCUCCAUUUCGAAAAAAACGCCCACGGACGAGCCCGAUCAAUGACCGGACGUGUUGCCUAUUUGUCCAUCCGCGCAGCCACAGUCCUUGUUUUCCUUUUUAUAUGUCCGGUCACUUGCACGUGAUUGAUGAAGAGAAAGAGAGAGAAAUAAAAUAAUGAAUAAAUAAAUGAAAAAGGUGUUCCGGAGUGGGGACGCGUCCUAUGAAGUGGACAGAUCUGGCGCAUCCAGGCGCAUCCGCAAGUUCUCAUAUCAUCCCUAUAUUUGAGAUGGAUAUGAGUAUUCGCGAACAGCCCGGACGAAUAGAGAUGAUAUAAAGGGUCCGGUUGGGUCGCUCUUUUCCUUCUCUCUUUUAUACAAUCAUGUAUCGUACUCGUCAGCGGACGCAUGAGGGGUCAUUUGAGACGUCCGAUUGUAGAUGCUCUAAAGGCAGACUCUUCACACGGUGUAUUCCCACUAGACCCCACAACUCCACAGCAACUCUAUUUCCAGCUACAGUUUCUUCUUUCAUUCCUUUCUUUUACCGGGAUCACCGGCAGCUACAGAUCUCUACACACAGCCCACGAGGCUUGAUGAUGAACCUACCACACGAAAGAAAACUUGAGCUGGUACUGUCUCCUGUGAGCUCUGAAUCUGAAGCAAGUCGGCAGGGUUACCAUGGAUCAUUGCCUCAAGUGAGAGAGUGCCUGGAUCCCCCGAAAGAAAAGAAUCCUGCAGUGCUCACCAUUUUGCUUACUGACAGCCGCUGGUAGAUCCUAUCGGCGUGCCGAUGAGGUCGAUAGCGCUAAUUAAUCUUCAAAAGCAUGCCGGUGAUCUUAGGUCUGCAUGAGUAUAUAAUUUACAAAAAUUCAAGUAAGCGUAAGCUAGCUCCAUGCAGGGUCAACGCAUGAGGGAUCACACGGAGGUGAACGGAGGCGGAGACAUAGCCCUGGCCGUCGGUCAGGUCCGUCAGGUCCAGGCAUGCCUAGUGCCCUGAUCUACGGCCAGGUCAAAGAUCCAUAGAUUUGUUUCAAGGCAUGAAGCAAAGAGGCUCAACCUUUUGGUUCAAUGUUGGUAUUUGGUUCCAUGACCAAAAGAGCUUGGAUCCCUACCAUAUGAAAGUGAUCUCAGAUCAUUCGCCAAAGUCGCUCAUCCAUUGAUGAUACACCAUCCAAUAGUCGGUAACAAAGUAUUGCGGUCAUCUCAAUAGAUUCAUGAAAGAAUGGCCAAGUGGUGCGCAAACCGUCGAGGAAAUAAGUGGUUCUAUGUGUUGAUCGUUUGGCCGGAUAUGCUAUAUGUGUUGGUCAUUUGGCCAGAUAUGUUCUAUGUUGGUCAUUUGGCCGAAUACCCACAUAUUGUUAAACGUGGC
rnacentral:lncRNA from 1 species